UACGAAGGGGGCUAGCGCUGCUCGGAAUCACUGGGCGUAAAGCGCACGUAGGUGGGUCGUUAAGUCAGGGGUGAAAUCCUGGAGCUCAACUCCAGAACUGCCUUUGAUACUGGCGAUCUUCGAGUCCGGGAGAGGUGAGUGGAACUGCGAGUGUAGAGGUGAAAUUCGUAGAUAUUCGCAAGAACACCAGUGGCGAAGGCGGCUCACUGGCCCGGUACUGACACUGAGGUGCGAAAGCGUGGGGAGCAAACAGG
rnacentral:rRNA from 1 species